rnacentral:rRNA from 1 species
UACGUAGGGGGCAAGCGUUGUCCGGGUUUAUUGGGCGUAAAGAGCGUGUAGGCGGCCAUACAGGUCAGCUGUGAAAACUCGAGGCUCAACCUCGAGACGUCGGUUGAAACCGUAUGGCUAGAGUCCGGAAGAGGAGAGUGGAAUUCCCGGUGUAGCGGUGAAAUGCGCAGAUAUCGGGAAGAACACCUAUGGCGAAGGCAGCUCUCUGGGACGGUACUGACGCUGAGACGCGAAAGCGUGGGGAGCGAACAGG